rnacentral:rRNA from 1 species
GUACGUAGGGUGCAAGCGUUAAUCGGAAUUACUGGGCGUAAAGCGUGCGCAGGCGGUUUUGUAAGACAGAGGUGAAAUCCCCGGGCUCAACCUGGGAACUGCCUUUGUGGCUGCAAGGCUAGAGUACGGCAGAGGGGGAUGGAAUUCCGCGUGUAGCAGUGAAAUGCGUAGAUAUGCGGAGGAACACCGAUGGCGAAGGCAAUCCCCUGGGCCUGUACUGACGCUCAUGCACGAAAGCGUGGGGAGC